GACGAACGUUGGAGGCGUGCCUAAUACAUGCAAGUAGAACGCACAGUUUAUACCGUAGCUUGCUACACCAUAAACUGUGAGUUGCGAACGGGUGAGUAACGCGUAGGUAACCUGCCUGGUAGCGGGGGAUAACUAUUGGAAACGAUAGCUAAUACCGCAUAAUAUUGAUUAUUGCAUGAUAAUUGAUUGAAAGAUGCUAUUGCAUCACUACCAGAUGGACCUGCGUUGUAUUAGCUAGUAGGUGAGGUAACGGCUCACCUAGGCGACGAUACAUAGCCGACCUGAGAGGGUGAUCGGCCACACUGGGACUGAGACACGGCCCAGACUCCUACGGGAGGCAGCAGUAGGGAAGCUUCGGCAAUGGACGAAAGUCUGACCGAGCAACGCCGCGUGAGUGAAGAAGGUUUUCGGAUCGUAAAGCUCUGUUGUAAGAGAAGAACGGGUGUGAGAGUGGAAAGUUCACACUGUGACGGUAUCUUACCAGAAAGGGACGGCUAACUACGUG
rnacentral:rRNA from 1 species